rnacentral:rRNA from 1 species
AGUCGAGGGGUAAAUGGUAGCAAUACUAUGAGACCGGCGGACGGGUGCGUAACGCGUAUGCAACAUACCUUGUGCAGGGGGAUAGCCCGUGGAAACGCGGAUUAAUAUUCCAUAGUCCAGCUAUAUCGCAUGGUAUAGUCGGUAAAGAUUUAUCGGCACAAGUUUGGCAUGCGUCUGAUUAGCUUGUUGGUAGGGUAACGGCCUACCAAGGCUACGAUCAGUAGGGGUUCUGAGAGGAUUAACCCCCACACUGGUACUGAGACACGGACCAGACUCCUACGGGAGGCAGCAGUGAGGAAUAUUGGUCAAUGGGCGGAAGCCUGAACCAGCCAUCCCGCGUGAAGGAAGACAGCCUUACGGGUUGUAAACUUCUUUUCUGUCAGAAGAAUAAGCUUGUCGAGACGAGUGAUGCCGGUAUGACAGGAAUAAGCAUCGGCUAACUCCGUGCCAGCAGCCGCGGUAAUACAGAGGAUGCAAGCGUUAUCCGGAUUUAUUGGGUUUAAAGGGUGCGCAGGUUGUUUGAUAAGUCAGUGGUGAAAGUCUGUCGCUUAACGGUAGGAUUGCCAUUGAUACUGUUGGACUUGAAUAUGGAUGAGGUAGGCGGAAUGUGUAGUGUAGCGGUGAAAUGCAUAGAUAUUACACAGAACACCGAUUGCGAAGGCAGCUUACUAAUC